rnacentral:tRNA from 1 species
GCCGCUGUGGUGAAAUUGGCAGACACGAGGGACUUAGUGGUGAAAUUGGCAGACACGAGGGACUUAAAAUCCCUUUCUGGAGACAGAGUACGGGUUCGACCCCCGUCGGCGGCA